rnacentral:rRNA from 1 species
CGGCGGACGGGUGAGUAACACGUGGGUAACCUACCUAUAAGACUGGGACAACUUUGGGAAACCGGAGCUAAUACCGGAUAAGAUAUCGAACCGCAUGGUUCGAUAGUGAAAGAUGGUUUUGCUAUCACUUAUAGAUGGACCCGCGCCGUAUUAGCUAGUUGGUGAGGUAACGGCUCACCAAGGCAACGAUACGUAGCCGACCUGAGAGGGUGAUCGGCCACACUGGAACUGAGACACGGUCCAGACUCCUCGGGAGGCAGCAGUA